CCACUGGUUUAAUGAAUAAUUCUGUUAAAGAUUCUAGGAAAAUAUCUAGCAAUUUUCCAUCCGUUUUCAAACAAGAUCCGGACGAUUUCCAAGGAAAUGUUACUUUACCAUCACUGGAUGACAUGACAACAAGCUUUACUUCGUUUGAUUCUCUUUCUCAUUUUGGAGGGAUUUCCUGAAAAGCUGAAAUGUAGCGAAUUUUUUCGAAAGAGUUAGUGCAUUUUAUAGCACCAGAGUUCCGAGUGAAAAUAGUUUACAUUAAUGAAUUUGUCUCUAGGCUCCGUAAUAAUUAAAAUCAAAAUAUAUAAGAAAAUAUAAAAUGCCUUAUCGAGACAAUUUUAUAAUCGGCACGGAAGAAAACUGUGACAUUUUACUUUAUUAUUUUUAAGAAAACGGACGUAAUAUUCAUCUUCACAAAGCAUCGGAUACGGUAAAUUGUAGGCAAUUGCAACGUGCCACGGCUCCAACAAAAAAACGGAACGUAUGAAACUAUUUGAAUGGAUUAUCGGACGAAUAAUUAAAACAUAAUCCGAAUAAACUGUCGAAUUUGUAAUUGUAAUUGCGUCAGAAUACACUUAAAAUAUGAUCUUUAGUCCCCGUAAUCGGUCUACAAUGGACCCUCUAAUGUCAUUUACAAAGAAGAAAUAUAUUUCGACGCACAAAAACAAAGAUGUAAAUAUUCUAUUUUGCAUUUAUAAUGAAAUCUUUUUUCAUAUCGAGAAAAUAGAUAGCGAUAAAUAUGGAUUGUUCGUUGACAA